AAAGAUUAGUUAGGAACAGUUUCCAGUACUGUGGAAAACAUGGCUGAGUCCUCUUCUAGUGUCGGGUUCCUGGGCUAGUGGGUGGAGGAGAAGCAAUAGACAUGAUAUAUUGAUUUUGUUACUUUAUUUUUUAAAACAAACCUACUAUUGUUGCAUCGCAAGAGCUCAGACGUGCUGUCUGGUUUCCAGCAACAGUGAUUUAAGGACACAGGAAUACUGCAAAUCCACACUACAAAAGAAGCAAGAGUGACAGUCCCCAUGUGGAGGGUUGGGUGUAUUAUAAUUAAAGGCAGCGAAGAAUACAAAUUGAUCAACCACUCUGAACUCAACUUUGAGAGAAUUCUUCAUGAAUCUGAACAGAACUCCAGGUGUCAGCUUUACAGAUUUCAACUUUGCAAAACUGGUAAUUAAAAAGGUGCAAAGGCUUGCCAUCACAACAGUAGAAUAGACUCUAAGUCCUACAGAACCUAAGAAGCCAACCUUGAAUGAUGGAUAAUAAGAGGGAACAAGAAUGAAGAGGCUCAGAUGAAGCCUUCAUGAAUCUUGUUUAUGCGGUAUGUUUACGUAGGACUGCUGCCAUCUUCUUGUAUACAUUUAAACAGUACAACAUCCUCAUCUUGCCACCCUCUUAAAAUGAACGGAAAGCAUUCAGUUUUGUCAAAUCUGCAUGGAACAUGAGUGAUAGAUGCACACCACAAUGACAAAGAGGAAAAAUUUUAACCUGGAAAUGCAAGUGAAAACAGUUACUUAGAAUUUUAGGGUUAUGAAGAGAGAUUACCUACA